rnacentral:rRNA from 1 species
CCUACGGGAGGCAGCAGUGGGGAAUAUUGCACAAUGGGCGAAAGCCUGAUGCAGCGACGCCGCGUGAGGGAUGACGGCCUUCGGGUUGUAAACCUCUUUCAGCAGGGAAGAAGCGAAAGUGACGGUACCUGCAGAAGAAGCGCCGGCUAACUACGUGCCAGCAGCCGCGGUAAUACGUAGGGCGCAAGCGUUGUCCGGAAUUAUUGGGCGUAAAGAGCUCGUAGGCGGCUUGUCACGUCGGUUGUGAAAGCCCGGGGCUUAACCCCGGGUCUGCAGUCGAUACGGGCAGGCUAGAGUGUGGUAGGGGAGAUCGGAAUUCCUGGUGUAGCGGUGAAAUGCGCAGAUAUCAGGAGGAACACCGGUGGCGAAGGCGGAUCUCUGGGCCAUUACUGACGCUGAGGAGCGAAAGCGUGGGGAGCGAACAGGAUUAGAUACCCUGGUAGUCCACGCCGUAAACGGUGGGAACUAGGUGUUGGCGACAUUCCACGUCGUCGGUGCCGCAGCUAACGCAUUAAGUUCCCCGCCUGGGGAGUACGGCCGCAAGGCUAAAACUCAAAUGAAUUGACGG